UUCUGACAUCUGUUCAGCCUUCACCAGAGCUCGCCGUUGCCGGAGAAACACUUCCGGAACUGCUCAGAUCCGCUGUACCAUUCUCGUUGCGCUCCAAUCGAUUUGAAUCCACCACUUUUCUUGGUGUUGUGGUCAUUGUCGUUAUAAUGGGGAGUUAAUGUUGUUGCUACUGUUGCAGUUCCGGUUGCUGCAGUUUCGAUUUCUAUGAGUUUUAAUAUUAAGACGCAGUCGCUUGCCACCACUUGCUUCAGGUUGAGACUCGAUACUCUGUUGACCCUAUGAUGUAAGGGUGACUGGGCACUUAUAAAUUUCCAAGAAUGGUACCCCCAUUGAGCGAUUUGAUAUAUAUAUGAGAAAAAGCUAUGCAU